rnacentral:rRNA from 1 species
UACGAAGGGUGCAAGCGUUACUCGGAAUUACUGGGCGUAAAGCGUGCGUAGGUGGUUUGUUAAGUCUGAUGUGAAAGCCCUGGGCUCAACCUGGGAAUGGCAUUGGAUACUGGCGAGCUAGAGUGCGGUAGAGGGUAGUGGAAUUCCAGGUGUAGCGGUGAAAUGCGUAGAGAUGUGGAGGAACACCGAUGGCGAAGGCAGCCCCCUGGUCAAGAUUGACGCUCAUGCACGAAAGCGUGGGGAGCAAACAGG